CAGCAGCCGCGGUAAUACGUAGGUGGCAAGCGUUGUCCGGAAUUAUUGGGCGUAAAGGGCUCGCAGGCGGUUUCUUAAGUCUGAUGUGAAAGCCCCCGGCUCAACCGGGGAGGGUCAUUGGAAACUGGGAAACUUGAGUGCAGAAGAGGAGAGUGGAAUUUCACGUGUAGCGGUGAAAUGCGUAGAGAUGUGGAGGAACACCAGAGGCGAAGGCGACUCUCUGGUCUGUAACUGACGCUGAGGAGCGAAAGCGUGGGGAGCGAACAGGAUUAGAUACCCGUGUAGUCCCUGUCUCUUAUAC
rnacentral:rRNA from 1 species